UACGGAGGGGGCUAGCGUUGUUCGGAAUCACUGGGCGUAAAGCGCACGUAGGCGGCUUUCUAAGUCAGGGGUGAAAUCCUGGAGCUCAACUCCAGAACUGCCUUUGAUACUGGAGAGCUUGAGUCCGGAAGAGGUGAGUGGAACUCCGAGUGUAGAGGUGAAAUUCGUAGAUAUUCGCAAGAACACCAGUGGCGAAGGCGGCUUACUGGUCCGGUUCUGACGCUGAGGCGCGAAAGCGUGGGGAGCAAACAGG
rnacentral:rRNA from 1 species